UACGUAGGGUGCAAGCGUUAAUCGGAUUCACUGGGUUUAAAGGGUGCGUAGGAGGGCAGGUAAGUCAGUGGUGAAAUCUUCGAGCUUAACUCGGAAACUGCCAUUGAUACUAUCUGUCUUGAAUACCGUGGAGGUGAGCGGAAUAUGUCAUGUAGCGGUGAAAUGCUUAGAUAUGACAUAGAACACCAAUUGCGAAGGCAGCUCACUACGCGAAUAUUGACACUGAGGCACGAAAGCGUGGGGAUCAAACAGG
rnacentral:rRNA from 1 species